AGCGAACGCUGGCGGCAGGCCUAACACAUGCAAGUCGAACGAACUCUUCGGAGUUAGUGGCGGACGGGUGAGUAACACGUGGGAACGUGCCUUUAGGUUCGGAAUAACUCAGGGAAACUUGUGCUAAUACCGAAUGUGCCCUUCGGGGGAAAGAUUUUUCGCCUUUAGGGCGGCCCGCGUCUGAUUAGCUAGUUGGUGAGGUAAAGGCUCACCAAGGCGACGAACGGUAGCUGGUCUGAGAGGAUGACCAGCCACAUUGGGACUGAGACCAGGCCCAAACCCCUACGGGAGGCAGCAGUGGGGAAUCCUGCGCAAUGGGCGAAAGCCUGACGCAGCCAUGCCGCGUGAAGGAUAAAGGUCUUAGGAUUGUAAAAUUCUUUCACCGGGGACGAUAAUGACGGUACCCGGAGAAGAAGCCCCGGCUAACUUCGUGCCAGCCGCCGCCGUAA
rnacentral:rRNA from 1 species